UUCACAGAAGAUGGAUCAUUUAGGAGGGUCUUUAUCAACUCUGGGGAAAGGAAGCAAGUUGAGGGUUUGAGGACAGCCACUGACUUGCCCUUGUGUCUAGCCUCUCUCCACUGCCAAGCUAAGGGAGGUUCUUAGAGAGGGCAGUGUCAUGUGGCUGUGACACCUUGCCAGGCCUCAUCGUGCUUCAGAAGAGGCAGCUGGUAGAAGGCCUAAAGCAGACCUUUCCAGACCCUCUGGUAGGCCCAGCACUGUCUUGAUGCAUAUUCCCUGAGGAUACUGUGAGCUAAGGCCGUGUAAAGCUGGCCCUUCCGCUGAGGGAGAAGUCAUCCGAGUCACGUGGCCCUGGCGGUCCCUCCUCGGAACAUGACGGUGACUUCUCUCCCCCGUUCCUGUUAUAGGAACCUUGUCACCCAUGAGGAAGGGUAUAAUACAUUUCCACAGUCAGGCAAGUACUCUCGCUCAUAGGCUGCUUCUGUUUAGAGGUCACGGUGAUGCUGAAGGAAGGGUAGUGGCCCUAAUGACUAAGUCAUUCCAUGUGGGUUCUGCCUCUUAAGAUUUCUGUUAACUCAUCUUUACCACACUGGGGACCAAGCCUGCAAUAUAUAAACCCUUGAGAACACAAGCCUACUGGAACUUUAGCAACUAAUCCACUAUUCUAAUUUAAUCCACUGUCUUCCUUCACUACCAGCACAAGGGUUUGUCUGGGCCCACCUGCUUUUUAACAGUUUUCUCCAAGAUUGAAACAUUUUGAUUGGAAGCUCCUUAAGGUAAACAACUCAAAAUAGUUUCAGGAAGUCCUUGAAACUGAACAGAUUCAGUAGGCCCCUCCCUGCCAGAGUAGGCAAUAAAAACUGAGUCCCUCUCAGAGAAGUAAAUCUGAGCUGCAAAAAGACUCCUAGACAAGCCCAACUGCAAAGCAGACUCUUGAGACCAAACCAGCUGCCCAGAAGAAACAAAAAUCAGCCAAGCUGCUUGGAAGAGGUAUAGAUCAACUGAGUCACUUGGAAAGAACACAUUCUGACUUGUUGGGCUGCCUGUAGGCUGUGCAGUGUGCUCUAGUAGGUUCUCAGCUUUUGUGAGCUGUCACCCAUGCUGGGGUGAUACAGCUGUCUUGAGUCAUUUCUGCUCUUGUAAGUAACUCCUGACCUACAUUCCUGUAAGUAGCCUCAAUAAAACUCAU
rnacentral:sRNA from 1 species